rnacentral:piRNA from 1 species
UGUGCAAUCUGCACUAGGGCUUGCCAUUCC